rnacentral:tRNA from 1 species
GCAGUGGCUCAGUGGCAGAGCGCUUGCCCAGCAUGUGAGGUCCUGGGUUCGAUUCUCAGUACUGCG